AUGCCGGUGCUUGGACAGCUUUUUUAGCAAGUUGCUGAUAUGGGGUUGGUGGGUUGUCUUAUAAUAUUUUUUGAUAAUUUGUCAACUUUCUAGCUAUAGCAUUAUUUGUUGUACAAUAGUUCCAUAUAUGAUUUGUUGUUUCUUAAGUGUCCUAAUUAGUUGGCUACAGCUUAUCUCUUAGAGGCUUCAUGAAAGGCUUAAUAUUCAUACAGCAUUUAUAUUUUCUCUCUGUGACAUGCAAUGAUGGAAUGGAGAUUGUCUGUGCAUUUCUCUGCUUCUUGUCAAUUAUCAGUUUCUGGGGUAUGUUUAAAGAAAUUAACGAUAAAAACUGUUAUGUGGUAGAGCUGCUUAUUUCCUUAUAAGAUUACAUGCUAUUUUUUUCCCAUCUUAUACUGAAAAUGGUUGGUUCAGUCAAAUUUUCAUGCUGGGGAAGCAUAUUAUUACAUAUAUUUUUAUCUCUCUACAUACAUACAUUCAUUAUACACAAUGUCAUACGACAUUCUUUGUUUAGUCUUUAUUAGAAUUUCACCUGUAAACUGACCUCUUCUAUCAGUUAUGAUUAUGAAACAUUUUUAACCCAUUUUCCUGAUGGAAAUAG
rnacentral:lncRNA from 1 species